GCUGGGUGUGGUGGUACAUGCCUGUAAUCCCAGCUAGUCAGGAGGCUGAGGCAGGAGGAUCAUGAGUUCAAAGCCAGCCUCAGCAACUUACUGAGGACCUAAGCAACUCAUUGAGACCCUGUCUCUA
rnacentral:sRNA from 1 species